rnacentral:rRNA from 1 species
UACGUAGGGUCCGAGCGUUGUCCGGAAUUACUGGGCGUAAAGAGCUCGUAGGUGGUUUGUCGCGUUGUUCGUGAAAACUCACAGCUUAACUGUGGGCGUGCGGGCGAUACGGGCAGACUGGAGUACUGCAGGGGAGACUGGAAUUCCCGGUGUAGCGGUGAAAUGCGCAGAUAUCAGGAGGAACACCAGUGGCGAAGGCGGCACUCUGGGCCGGUACUGACGCUGAGGAGCGAAAGCGUGGGGAGCGAACAGG